rnacentral:rRNA from 1 species
UACGAAGGGGGCUAGCGUUGCUCGGAAUCACUGGGCGUAAAGCGCACGUAGGCGGACUCUUAAGUCGGGUGGUGAAAUCCUGGAGCUCAACUCCAGAACUGCCUUCGAUACUGAGAGUCUCGAGUCCGGGAGAGGUGAGUGGAACUGCGAGUGUAGAGGUGAAAUUCGUAGAUAUUCGCAAGAACACCAGUGGCGAAAGGCGGCUCACUGGCCCGGUACUGACGCUGAGGUGCGAAAGCGUGGGGAGCAAACAGG